CUCAAAAUGUAGAAUUAAUUAUUAUCACAUAGGUUAUUCAGGGAAGGCGCUAAUACAUUUUUAAAAAUCAGUUUUCUUCAAAAACUUCCGGUCUGGAACUGGCAGACAUGUGACGUAACAACGCAUCUGUGAUUGGCUAAUGGGAUCAACAAAUCAAAAGCACGACCUGACAGACUGAUGUCCCAUUUGACCAAUCAGAGCACGUGUUGACUUUCCGGGUUCUGAUAUGCCGGAAGCACGGCACUGCGCUUUCGGUGAGCGCAGAUCACAGAUCUUUGUGAGGUGUUGACGUUCUGUUCGGCGGCGCAGGAGCCCGAUUUACCGGCGCGGAGGACAGUUUAAGUCAGAACUUCGUGCCGCUAGGGCGGCUUUUGACCUGAACGGGACGCCGUAACUUUCUUAGCACAGUUGCUCCUCAACAUUAGUUUGCAUGUCAUCAUGAUUAACAGUUUAACUGAGAUUUAAGUUAAUUUGCUGAGUUUUAUUUAAAAUAAACAGACUAAAUCGUUUUCCCCCCUUCUGUUCAUAACCUCCUUGUCUUUUUCCCCUCUGUUUCCGUUAAAAGGUUUAUAUUUUGGUUUAAAUGACACUAUAUCUUGGGCAGAAUAGUUUAGCAGAACUUCUUUUUUGUGCUUACUGGACUAUUUUCGACUAAAAAGUUGAAAGAGUCUAAUAAAACUAGAGCAUGUUUGAGUGUUAGAGGGAUUUAAGGUAGUUUUGUGAGGAUGGCCUCUCACUGUGUAGCUUAUGGAUGUGGCAAAUCUGCAGCAGAUGGAGUGACGCUCUUCAGGUUUCCCAGAGAUCCAGAUGAGUUUCACAAGUGGGAGAAGCAGGUGCAGAGAACCCGGACCGAGUGGUCGGCAACCCCAAACUCUCACCUCUGCAGCGAUCAUUUUGGGAGGGAAUAUUUCGAGGCCCGAUCUCCCUCAGGUGUUCUGAGGCUGAAGCCGGGAGCUGCUCCUAUAGCGUUUCUCCGUCCGCUCUGCUCCUCCUGCAGAGGAGCAGGCUGCAGAAAAUGUCUGCAUGCAGGCCGACAAAGACGCUUUACAGAACACAGGUUUUCUUUCUUUCAGCAGGAUGAAAAUGAUGAGGAGGCAAGAAUCGAGGAAGAUGAUGCUGAUGGUGGGAACACAGAACACCUGGAGCCUGCCGGAGCGUUUCAACAACCAGCGGUCUGUGAAGUGUGCGGAAAGACGGGGAGCUUCAGUAGUUUCUAUUCGAAAGCCAAACGUUUCUGCAGCAUCUCCUGCUCGCGUUCCCAUUCGUCAAACUCCAAGAGGUCAACCAUUCUGGCUCGUCUGAAGGGCAGACCUCCAAAAAAAGCCGCUGUGCUGAAUAAAGUCAACAAAGCAGCUUCAGGUGCAGCAGUGGACGGGUCUGCCGCCUUCGACUGGGGCUCCUACCUGGAGAAAGAAACCUCUCUAGCCGCCUCCGUCUCCUGCUUCGAACACGCGCCUCUGUACAGCAUCUGGGACGCCAUCACCGUUGGGAUGAAGGUGGAGGUCCUGAACACCAACGCAGUUCUCCCCAGUAAGGUCUACUGGAUCGCUACAGUCAUCCAGGUUGCAGGAUACAAAGCUCUGCUCAGGUACGAAGGCUUCGAGUACGACAGCAGCCGGGACUUCUGGUGCAGUCUGGUUUCGGGCGAGAUGAACCCGAUUGGGUGGUGCGCCAUGACGAGUAAACUGCUGGUGCCGCCGCAGGAUGUACAGAACAUCCCGGACUGGAAGGAGUACCUGAUGAAAAAGCUGGUGGGGGGCGUGACCCUGCCCGUGAACUUCUACCUGAAGCUGGCGGAGAGCAUAAAGAUCCCCUUCAGGGUGGGCAUGCGGGUGGAGGUGGUGGACCCCAAACACGUGAGCCGCACCCGGCUGGCCGUGGUGGACUCCAUCAUCGGGGGCCGCCUGCGGCUGCUGUACGCAGACCAGAGCGACGCCCUGGGAAACGUGGCCGACUUCUGGUGCCACAUGUGGAGUCCUCUGGUCCAUCCCAUAGGCUGGUCCAAGAGAGUGGGUCACGCCGUCAGAGCAGCAGCAGGCGGCGCUGAAACGUUCAGCGGGGUGAAGAACAACGCCGACGCCGGGUUCACGCUUUUCAAAAAGCCCAGAGCGGUCUACAUGGGAGAAGGUUUCUUUGAAGAAGGGAUGAAGCUGGAGGCCAUCGACCCCCUCAACCUGGGAAACAUCUGCGUGGCCACCGUCCACAAGGUGCUGUUUGACGGUUACAUCAUGGUCGGCAUCGACGGCGUGGCGUCCAGCAACGGCUCUGACCGGUUCUGUUAUCACGCCUCCUCGCACGCCAUUCUGCCCAUCAACUACUGCCAGAAGAAUCAGAUCCCUCUGACUGUCCCUCCAGGUUAUGACCCCCAGACCUUCAACUGGCAAAAAUACCUGGAAGAAACCAAAUCCGCCGCUGCUCCUCCACGACUGUUCAACACUGACUACCCCGGCCACGGCUUCUCCCCCAACGUGAAGCUGGAGGCGGUGGACCUGAUGGAGCCGCGGCUGGUGUGCGUGGCCACGGUGAAGCGCUGCGUGGGCCGCCUGCUGCUCAUCCACUUCGACGGCUGGGACGACGAGUUCGACCAGUGGAUCGACCACCAGUCCCCGGACAUCUACCCCGUGGGCUGGUGUGAGCUGGUGGGCUACCAGCUGCAGCCGCCCCCAGAGCCCGUCGAGUUCAGUGAAAACCAGACGGCGCGGAACAAGCGGCCCAAGCCCUUCGUGUUCGGGAAAAAGAAAGGGGCAGAGGAAGAGGCUGUCGCAGGACCGGGACAAAAAUGCCGAAGAGGAGAGGCCGGCGGAUGAAGCGUUUGCUCCGGCGGCGCCGCUCCUCCAACCCAAAACUGAGCCGGAGGAGCAAGACAUCUCUGCGGUGCAGGUGAAGGUGGAGGAGGUGGAGACUCCCGUCAAUUUCCCCGACAAUCAACUAAUCUCCCUGAGUGAGGUCAAGAAGGAGGAAGAGGAGAACCUGGAGGUGCCGGAGCAGAGCAGCUGGGAAAGCGUGGAUUACCCAACAGCGAAGGAGGCUCCGAUUGC